GACGAACGCUGGCGGCGUGCUUAACACAUGCAAGUCGAACGGACAGGCCCUGCUUUUGUGGGGUGCUCGAGUGGCGAACGGGGGAGUAACACGUGAGUAACCUGUACCUGACUGUGGGAUAUCUUCAGGAAACUGGGGCUAAUACCGGGUAUGAGCUCUUGCUGCAUGGUGGGGGUUGGAAAGUUUCGGCGGUUGGGGAUGGACUCGCGGCUUAUCCGCUUGUUUGUGGGGUAGGGGCUGACCAAGGCUUUGACGGGUAGCCGGCCUGAGAGGGGGACCGGCCACAUGGGGACUGAGAUACGCCGCAGACUCCAACGGGAGGCAGCAGUGGGGAAUAUUACACAGCGGGCGGAAGCCAGAGGCGGCAACGCCGCGUGCGGGAUGACGUGCUUCUGGUUGUAAACCGCUUUCGCCUGUGACGAAGCGUUAGUGACGGUAAUGGGUAAAGAAGCACCGGCUAACUACGUG
rnacentral:rRNA from 1 species